GCUCGUCGCAGGUGUCACGGCCCUGGCCCCAGGUUCCUCCGCGGGCGGUUUCCCUGGGAACCAGCGCGAGCCGGAGCUGCGCUCUGUUUCGCCGGGCCCGAGAGGCGGCCUCAGGUUAACUUCAAGCAUGUUGGGCUCUCCAGGAGGGAGAAGAGGCACCUUUGCCGUGGGUGGAGGACUCCUAGAACCAACCUGAGACUCCGCGGCCAUAUACACCUUACGACGUGUGUGUGUGUGGCGGGGGAUGGGAGGGGAGGAAUCCUGUAGAACCCAGAUCCCAUCAUUCCAGCAACUGCCAGAGCGUUCGAGAAUGUCAUGUCUGUACCUGUCUUCUCUCAUCUUUUCUGCCAACUGUUUUAUCAAACUUCUACCCCACUUUAGGUCUUCCAGUAGAUACCUGAAACCCUGAACUACAAUAUAUGUGAAAUACAGUGAAUGGCAGAAAUACUUCGAUAAAAGAUGUAAAUGCCUACGGACUGCAGAAGACAACAUCAACAAAGCACACUUCACAAAAAGUACAACACAAAUAUACUGCCCAGGUUCUAAAACAUGUAUAAGAGUUAACAAAAUCAGCUGAGGUUGAGCAGAAAUUGUAUAGGAAAAAAUAGGAAAAACACAGAGACCAAUCUCAGCUGCAAGAAGGUUCAGCUAGACGCUGCAAGCAAAAGUAUAACUCCUGAAGCUUUUCCAGAGGUGUCCUGCAUGCUGAGUGGACAUGUCUGCCAAGCAUCUGCUAUGUCUUUGCCAGGUCCCUUGUGAAAUGGUGCUCUUAAGACUUCUCAACAGAAUACGACCAAAUAAUUAAGACUGCAGGGAGCAAGUGCAGACACCGGGAGACCUGUGGGAAGCUGCUGGAGUGACCCCGGAAAACCACGAUGCGGGUUCUGAAGAGGCAGGGGCAGUGGAGAUAGCUCCCUAUCUGUGCAAUAGUGAGAUGACAGAUUCUGAGUAUAUGUUCAAGGUGGAAACAAUACGAUUUGCUGAAAGAUUGGAUUGCAGUGUGAGAGAAAGAGAGGAGCUGAAGAUGACUUCAAGGUUCUAGACCUUUUGGAAGGAAGGAAUGUUCAUCAACAGAGAUGGGAAAGGUUACAGAUGGAGCAUGUUAGUGGGAAAAGGCCAGGAGUUCCAUUUUGGGCAUGUUGGGUUUGAGAUGUCUAUGGAAAUAUUA